UCCCUGGUGGCUCAGUUGGUAAAGAAUCUGCUUGCAGUGCAGGGGACCCGGGUUUGAUCCUUGGCUCGGGAA
rnacentral:tRNA from 1 species